AACGUAGGAGACAAACGUUAUCCGGAGUUACUGGGCGUAAAGGGCGUGCAGGCGGUCGACUAAGUCUGGCGUGAAAGCUCUCGGCUAAACCGGGAGAGGUCGUUGGAUACUGGUUGACUAGAGGACGGUAGAGGCGUGUGGAAUUCCGGGUGUAGUGGUGAAAUGCGUAGAGAUCCGGAGGAACACCAGUGGCGAAGGCGACACGCUGGGCCGUACCUGACGCUGAUACGCGAAAGCGUGGGGAGCGAACAGG
rnacentral:rRNA from 1 species